UCUCACUAAUUCUUUUUCAUAUAUGUAAAAGGAAAACAAGGUGAUACUAUUAUUUUGGUUUAUAUCCUAAUUAGCUUUUACCUAGCAUAUAACAACAUCAUACCAAGGAAAACCCACGAAUAGGGACUAGGGAGGGUGGAGUGUACGUAGACGUUAUCAAUACCUCGUGAAGAUAGAGAUGUUUCAAUAUUAUUUUAGCAAGCCUU
rnacentral:lncRNA from 1 species